rnacentral:rRNA from 1 species
GAUGAACGCUGGCGGCGUGCCUAAUACAUGCAAGUCGAGCGAACAGACGAGGAGCUUGCUCCUCUGACGUUAGCGGCGGACGGGUGAGUAACACGUGGAUAACCUACCUAUAAGACUGGGAUAACUUCGGGAAACCGGAGCUAAUACCGGAUAAUAUAUUUAACCGCAUGGUUCAAUAGUGAAAGACGGUUUUGCUGUCACUUAUAGUUGGAUCCGCGCCGCAUUAGCUAGUUGGUAAGGUAACGGCUUACCAAGGCGACGAUGCGUAGCCGACCUGAGAGGGUGAUCGGCCACACUGGAACUGAGACACGGUCCAGACUCCUACGGGAGGCAGCAGUAGGGAAUCUUCCGCAAUGGGCGAAAGCCUGACGGAGCAACGCCGCGUGAGUGAUGAAGGUCUUCGGAUCGUAAAACUCUGUUAUUAGGGAAGAACAAAUGUGUAAGUAACUAUGCACGUCUUGACGGUACCUAAUCAGAAAGCCACGGCUAACUACGUG